rnacentral:rRNA from 1 species
CACGUAGGGGGGCAAGCGUUGUCCGGAUUUAUUGGGCGUAAAGAGCUCGUAGGCGGCUUAGUAAGUCGGGUGUGAAACCUCCAGGCUCAACCUGGAGACGCCACCCGAUACUGCUGUGGCUAGAGUCCGGUAGGGGAGCGUGGAAUUCCCGGUGUAGCGGUGAAAUGCGCAGAUAUCAGGAGGAACACUGGUGGCGAAGGCGGGUCUCUGGGCAGUAACUGACGCUGAGGAGCGAAAAGCGUGGGGGAGCGAACAGG